rnacentral:rRNA from 1 species
CCUACGGGUGGCAGCAGUGGGGAAUAUUGCACAAUGGGGGAAACCCUGAUGCAGCGACGCCGCGUGAGUGAAGAAGCUUUUCGGCUUGUAAAGCUCUAUCCGCAGGGAAGAAAAAGGACGGUACCUAACUAGAAAGCCCCGGCUAACUACGUGCCAGCAGCCGCGGUAAUACGUAGGGGGCAAGCGUUAUCCGGAUUUACUGGGUGUAAAGGGGGCGCAGACGGCAGGGCAAGUCAGGAGUGAAAGCCAGGGGCUCAACCCCGGGACUGCUGUUGAAACUGGGCGGCUGGAGUGCAGGAGAGGUAGGCGGAAUUCCUAGUGUAGCGGUGAAAUGCGUAGAUAUUAGGAGGAACACCGGUGGCGAAGGCGGCCUGCUGGACUGCAACUGACGUUGAGGCUCGAAAGCGUGGGGAGCAAACAGGAUUAGAUACCCGUGUAGUC